rnacentral:sRNA from 1 species
GAAUCAGUUGCUCAACUACCGUUCUGCCAUUUCAAAUCAUGGAUCAAAAAUAGAAGGCCUGGAAAGAGAACUGACUGAUUUGAAUCAAGAAUUUGAGACUUUGCAAGAAAAGGCUCAAGUAAAUUCCAGAAAAGCACAAACAUUAAACAACAAUGUUAAUCGGGCAACACAAAGUGCAGAAGAACUGGAUGUGAAGAUUAAAAAUGUCAUACGGAAUGUGCACAUUCUUUUAAAGCAGAUCUCUGGGACAGAUGGAGAGGGAAACAACGUGCCUUCAGGUGACUUUUCCAGAGAGUGGGCUGAAGCCCAGCGCAUGAUGAGGGAACUGCGGAACAGGAACUUUGGAAAGCACCUCAGAGAAGCAGAAGCUGAUAAAAGGGAGUCGCAGCUCUGUAAGAAUGCUCCCAAAUUCUUGCAUCCAGUCCAUUCUAAUUGAUUUGAAACACAACGUGCAGAGUGCAAUGUAGAGUUCCCCGUUAUAGGUGGAAGGCCUCAUGGUUUCAGCGAAUAUUACUGUUAGAGCAUCACGUGGUGAAAAUUGGUAGCCCCCAGGAGUCCCAGGUUACCAACGGGCUGUAGAAUAUAACAGCUUACCAUCAUGCAAAGAAAAAAAAAGUUCUUCUAAAAGUUAGAUA